CCUACGGGAGGCAGCAGUGGGGAAUAUUGGACAAUGGGCGAAAGCCUGAUCCAGCCAUGCCGCGUGUGUGAAGAAGGUCUUCGGAUUGUAAAGCACUUUAAGUUGGGAGGAAGGGCAGUAAAUUAAUACUUUGCUGUUUUGACGUUACCGACAGAAUAAGCACCGGCUAACUCUGUGCCAGCAGCCGCGGUAAU
rnacentral:rRNA from 3 species